GUUGUGUUGGAACGUGAGGGCCUCGAUAACCCUGCCAAGAAGCAUGCAAUUAGGGAGUUUGUAGUGGCGGCCAAGGUUAAUCUAGUGUGUCUACAAGAGACUAAGCUCGAUGUAAUUGAUCAUUUCACUGUUAUGCAAUGCAUUGGACCAUCUUUUGAUGGUUUUGACUAUGUACCUGCGGAUGUGACACGUGGGGGCAUCCUU
rnacentral:rRNA from 1 species